rnacentral:rRNA from 1 species
CGGAUCGUAAAGCUCUGUUGUUAGGGAAGAACAAGUGCGAGAGUAACUGCUCGCACCAUGACGGUACCUAACCAGAAAGCCACGGCUAACUACGUGCCAGCAGCCGCGGUAAUACGUAGGUGGCAAGCGUUGUCCGGAAUUAUUGGGCGUAAAGGGCUCGCAGGCGGUUUCUUAAGUCUGAUGUGAAAGCCCCCGGCUCAACCGGGGAGGGUCAUUGGAAACUGGGAAACUUGAGUGCAGAAGAGGAGAGUGGAAUUCCACGUGUAGCGGUGAAAUGCGUAGAGAUGUGGAGGAACACCAGUGGCGAAGGCGACUCUCUGGUCUGUAACUGACGCUGAGGAGCGAAAGCGUGGGGAGCGAACAGGAUUAGAUACCCUGGUAGUCCACGCCGUAAACGAUGAGUGCUAAGUGUUAGGGGGUUUCCGCCCCUUAGUGCUGCAGCUAACGCAUUAAGCACUCCGCCUGGGGAGUACGGUCGCAAGACUGAAACUCAAAGGAAUUGACGGGGG